rnacentral:lncRNA from 1 species
AUGAGAUCAGGAGGGUAAUCACUUUUGUGGUUGGAACAAGACAAGUUCAAAAGAAAAACGAAAAACAUUGCCAUUUUUAUUUUUUAAAACUGCAAAAAAUGAAAAACAGGGAACACCGCUUUUGAUCACAAAAACAUCCAUUUAUUACUGAUGCAAAAUGUUGCAAAAUGAAACACAUGAGGUGGCCCUUACAAUGGACCAGUA